rnacentral:rRNA from 1 species
CCUACGGGAGGCAGCAGUGAGGAAUAUUGGUCAAUGGACGAGAGUCUGAACCAGCCAAGUAGCGUGAAGGAUGACUGCCCUAUGGGUUGUAAACUUCUUUUAUAAAGGAAUAAAACGAGGCACGUGUGCCUUUUUGCAUGUACUUUAUGAAUAAGGAUCGGCUAACUCCGUGCCAGCAGCCGCGGUAAUACGGAGGAUCCGAGCGUUAUCCGGAUUUAUUGGGUUUAAAGGGAGCGUAGAUGGGUUGUUAAGUCAGUUGUGAAAGUUUGCGGCUCAACCGUAAAAUUGCAAUUGAUACUGGAAGUCUUGAGUACAGUUGAGGUAGGCGGAAUUCGUGGUGUAGCGGUGAAAUGCUUAGAUAUCACGAAGAACCCCGAUUGCGAAGGCAGCUUACUAAACUGUGACUGACAUUGAUGCUCGAAAGUGUGGGUAUCAAACAGGAGUAGAUACCCUAGUAGUC